UACGAAGGGGGCUAGCGUUACUCGGAAUCACUGGGCGUAAAGGGUGCGUAGGCGGGUUUUUAAGUCAGAGGUGAAAUCCUGGAGCUCAACUCCAGAACUGCCUUUGAUACUGAAAGUCUUGAGUAUGGGAGAGGUGAGUGGAACUGCGAGUGUAGAGGUGAAAUUCGUAGAUAUUCGCAAGAACACCAGUGGCGAAGGCGGCUCACUGGCCCAUUACUGACGCUGAGGCACGAAAGCGUGGGGAGCAAACAGG
rnacentral:rRNA from 1 species